CCCUAACGUUAGGGGUCCUGCGCGACGGCUUGCAACAUGCGGCGCGGGUGAGAGAGUCCCUUUGAACCUGAUGCGGAUAAUGCCGCCGCAGGGAAGCGUGAGCAGACCUCC
rnacentral:ncRNA from 2 species